rnacentral:lncRNA from 10 species
AGAGGCUCGGCUCGCGCGGCGCGGCCGCUGCGACUUCCUGGAGUUCUGCCUGCCGGGGGCGCGGGCGGGCUUUGUCAGGAUCGCGGUGCGGCGACCGACGUUGGGCUCUUGCAUUGCUUUGUGCUUGGCAAUGGAAUCAUGGUUUCGGGAUAGUCAUUUUGCCUCCUGGACAGUUGGCUGACGAAGUGUCUGAUAAACCAGCUUCAGAUACAUGCUACAAAAGGCUACUGAGCUGGCCUGAUGAUGAUCCUUCUGAGAUAUAUUUAUAGCAGAUGAUUUGUGGAUGAUAACUACGCCAAGCAAGACACUGUCUCCAGUAACCCCAGGCUCGUCUGACUUCCUCAGGGGAUUAUAAUAAAGAAUCACAAAAAGAACCCUAUAUGGACAGUCUGGUCUCUGGACACUAACAACAGCACAAUCCAAAGGCAAAGAAAGGAGGAACCACCUUGUUUCAUGUCUGCAAGCUGCUCCAUAUGAAAGCAUUGCUGACAUGUUGACCCAACAGCAAAAAGAGAGCAGCAGUUUACACACCCUCAGCUCUCUGUCCUUUCCUUUCUAUUGAUGUUGGUCCACUUUUAUGACUGAAUACAUAUUAAAAUCACCAUUUCAAAUUAUAAUUAUCUGCUUUCAUUGGUCUCUUUCACAAGUCUAUGUCUAUAUUUAUGUUUACAUAUAUAAACACAUAUACACAUAUUUUAUACAUACAUAUGUAUAUGUAUGCACGCAUUAUUUGUAAGUACACAUACACGUGUGUGUAUAUAUAUGUAUAUGAUAUGUAUAUGUGUAUUUCAGUUGAUACACAUAUAUUUGCUUGGGAAGUUUCACUACAUUGCUUUGUAUUUCUCUUUUAUAAGGUAAUGCAUUUAAUUCCAAAACUACCACAUUAAUUGUAUAAAUUGAUUAUUACAUAAGUUUCCUUGAUGAUUUACAGAAGAACUAUUGAGAGGUCAGUGUUAGCACAUCAAAAUAUAGUCUGGUAUGGCAUUUUAAAUUGACCCAGGUAUCUAAUAUUAAAGCCUUUCAAAUUUAUCUCUCCUGCUAUUAUUUUAUUAAGAUUACUUUGGAAUGAUGAGGUUAUAAGUGUGAUUUAUUUCUGUUUCAUCUUUUUGUCUGUAUGUGCUAAGUUUAGUCCCUCCACUUUGAGAAUAACCCUAUAAUCCAGGAUCAUUGCUUAAAAUUCAGUAUCAUUUGCAGAAUUCUCAUACUCAAAUAAGAAUGUUUCUAGAAUAUGUUUACUCAAUUUUAGAAAGUAUUUUCUCUUUCCUUCUUUCUGUCAUAGUUUUUCUGAUAUUACUGUAUUACCACAUUCUAAACUCUGUGACUUGUUAUUUUCAGUAAGGCUUUAAGAAGCAUGGAUAGGUUUGUAGGUUAUUUCUUGUUAAAUAUGCCUUAAUUUUUUAGUAUUUAGUAUUAGUAUUUAGUUUUUAGUAUUUAGUAUUUAGUAUCUCCCAUAUAUAUAUAUGCACACAUAUAUAUAUACACAUAUAUAUGUACACACAUACAUAUAUACACACACAUAUAUAUACACACACAUACACAAAGCUUUGGAAUGUUAAUUAAAUGAUCAAAAUAUUACAAGAUUACAUUGUUAUGAGAACUUAUCCUUAAUAUUAGCAUAUUUACUAUAAAGUUAAACAACUUCUUCUCCUCUGUCUCCUGUUUAUUAUCAUUAUUUUAUUAUUAUUAAAAAAGGAAGUCUCUCAGAAACCAAGCUGUAUAUCCUCUAGUCUCUAUGUAAAAAAACAAAUUGGUCAUUUUCUACUUGGACAUCCCAGAAUAGAAAGUACAUUGAAGUACUAAAAAAUAAAGGGAUAGACUUGGGGUUAAGGGAGAUGUCAUAGAACAGCUAUCCUGGGUUAGUUCAAGUGUAGUCCUAUUCCAUGCUAGGCAAAGUCAAGGUUACAAAAAUCCCAGUUGCAUCAGGUUUCCAUUUUUUAUCAUUAUUUCCCUAUACAACGAUACAAGUUAAAAAAAAGUCGGUAAAUACUUUUGGCCAUCAAUUUUCAAGAUUUCAUUGGUGAUAUUAAGGAAAUGCUGUAAGUAGGUAACACAUAAUGUCAUAUUUGUGUGCUGUAGAAGUAUCUUGGAAAAUAUGGACUUUAAAACCUCAAAAUAUGGGUUUGCAAUCGAACAUACAUUCACCCCCAAAUUUGACCUUUUUCAGCUAGUUAUUUUCUCAUAUAAAGUUACUAUACUUACACCAUUAUCUUUAAUCCCUGAAAUUUCAAUUAUACUAGAAAUCAAGAUUCUUCAUUUUUACUCACGAAACUGACACUAAGUAUAUACCUCAUUAAGGACAAGAAGCUAUGAAUUCUCUGGACUUCAGUUAUCUCACAGAAAAGAGCUUGAUUGAAUAAUGUCUAAGGCUCUUCCUGACAUAGUCUAAAUAACAGAAGGUGUCUCACAAGAAAUGGAAGCAGUGAGAGAAAAAUGCAAUUAAAUCCUAGACUAGAAAGAAUCACAAUUUUCCCACUCACAGGUUGGAAAUGCCUCUCUAUUCUAUCACAAUUUUGAAAACCUCCAUAGUUUUACUAGCUUUGCCUUUCUCCCUUGCUAUCAUCUUCUGAGGUACAGACAGUCCUUUCCAUUUUUAUUCCUCUCCCACUCUGAUAAUUUUUUUCUUUGACAGAAGUCCCACUUUAUCAUUAAUGAUGACAAUAACUAAGGCUGCCAGGAACAGCACAUCUGCUGAGCUUUAUCAACACCAGAUUCUCUCAUUUUGCCUUCUGGAUCUCCAUGCUUUUUUAUACCAACAAACAAGAGGAAGAAUAUUCUCUACCCACUUCCUUGACUGAAGCCUGCUCUUUUAUGAAGACAUGGCAUCUCUUCCAACCGUGUCAAACAGAUGCAAUUUAUAUGUCUGCUGCUUCCAUACCCUGAUUAAAUGGGUCAGUGGCAGAAUCAGUAUCCUUAGUCUCCCCUUUGGUUUCAAAUAUGUACUCCUUAUUUCAGUUUCAUGCUCACCUUUCUGUAGAGACCAAGGCAUCUGCCUUUGCAGCUUUACCUCUUCCUCCAGGUUAUAGUUUCCAUUCAUGGAAUCUUUUAGCUGCUGGCUGGCAGUUUUCCUGUCUACCUGACUUCCAUUCCUCUUCUCAUGACUUCAGCUCCCAUGCAGAUGUCUUAUCCUGACAUACUAGCUUCUCCAUUCUAUUUCUGUGUGUGUGUGUCUGUGUGUUUCCCUACUAGUUCAUCCACAUUUCCCUAUGGUCUUUUUUUUUUAUGUUUUAUUUUUGCAUAUGUGUAUUUCCUUUUAUUUAUUUAUUUAUUUAUUUAU